rnacentral:lncRNA from 1 species
GAGUCCCCCGAGGCCCGCCCUCAGCGUGUCUUAUUCCAUUUUGAAGUCCCUGCCAUGCGGCAACACCUCGGUCACCUCACCACGGGCGGAAGUAGAAGGGUCCCGUUCCGCCAGCAGGGAGCGGCAGAGUUGCACUCAGUCAAGCCAUACCUUUCUCAUCCUCCAAUGCCCCAGUGGGGGUCAGCCUGACUAGGAAGUCACUCCCUCCCUCGUGCCAGAGCUGGCCUCUCUUGACUGCCUAUUGUCUAAUUCUUCCUGGACACAGCUUCUCUCUGAUGACUACAAAGUUGCAAAUGUCUGAGGUGCAUAGCUCCUGUAUUUCCCAAGAUGGCUACACAAAUAAAAGAACCAGGGUGGGACCCAUAGUCUAGCAGGAAA